AACGAACGCUGGCGGCGUGCUUAACACAUGCAAGUCGAACGCGAAAGGUUCUUUCGGGAACUGAGUAGAGUGGCGCACGGGUGAGUAACGCGUAAGUAAUCUACCCUGGUAUCUGGAAUAACUCAUCGAAAGGUGUGCUAAUACCGGAUACGUUGGUUUACCAAGAAAGGAGGCCUCUGCAUAUGCUUCCGUACCAGGAUGAGCUUGCGUACCAUUAGCUAGUUGGUAGGGUAAUGGCCUACCAAGGCGACGAUGGUUAGCGGGUCUGAGAGGAUGAUCCGCCACACUGGAACUGAAACACGGACCAGACUCCUACGGGAGGCAG
rnacentral:rRNA from 1 species